GCGCGAGUGCCGGAACAGGUAUACGGAACGGUUUUAGGUACCGUCGUCUUCGGACAUGGGGGUUCGAGUCCCCCCUCGCGCA
rfam:Streptomyces fradiae strain ATCC 19609 contig0061, whole genome shotgun sequence.